rnacentral:rRNA from 1 species
UACGGGGGGGGGCAAGCGUUGUUCGGAAUUACUGGGCGUAAAGGGUGCGUAGGCGGUGCUCUAAGUCGGAUGUGAAAACUCUGGGCUCAACCCAGAGCCUGCAUCCGAAACUGGAGUGCUAGAGUUCUGGAGGGGGUAGCGGAAUUCCUGGUGUAGCGGUGAAAUGCGCAGAUAUCAGGAGGAACACCGACGGCGAAGGCAGCACUCUGGGCCGGUACUGACGCUGAGGAGCGAAAGCAUGGGGAGCGAACAGG